GGCACGCGCCACGUGUAAUUCGAUCGGCUAUUUCGACGACCAGCAACAGCCAACGGAGCGGCCCGGAAAGUGGACAAGGUUUUAAUCCUCGAGAAAACUGUUACGAACACGGGGCCAGCUCGUGCUACUCUCGCUAAUCGUGGCUCGCGAGUCUCGCCUUAUUUUCUUAGCCGGCUAUCGCGGACAGAUGCUAGGCCGUGGUCUCUGCCUCGCGUCUUCCUUCAACCCUUUCUCAAAAUACGAAACUCGAUACCAACCGUGAAUGUUGUAGCCAAAUUGCCGCCUGCCACUCUGCUCUUAACUAAAAAUAGCCGACCAUGGUCGUUGCCUCUUGGAUAAACAGCGCGAAGAGAGAUAGCGGCGUUUCAGUUAUUCGACCGUCCAAGUCACUCGAGUUUUCCUUCAUUUUCAUUCCAAUUACCAAUUACCAAUUACCAAUUACCAAUUACCAAUUACCAAUUACCAAUCUCGUCGUUUUAAAUCGCCUUCGUUUCGCGGAAAUCAAAUUUUCACGUAUAUCCAUCGAUCGCUCGGAUCCCGAUCGAGUUUCUAGAGGCAACGAUGCAGCGAUCGAUGCCGUUUGCAAAAUUUCUCCAAUUCUAUCAACUAUCGACAAAUAGUCGACUGUAGUCGUUGUAGCGAAGAAUUUGCGAUUGUUCGCCGAUUCUUGCACCGAUAUCCAGAUGAUUCCGAAGCAACAGCCUGGACAAGCGCUUUGAAAUUACUGUUAUGAUGCUCACGAUGUGUUAAAAUAAGGUCGGAUGAAAAAAUUCUAUAAUGGAACAGUAAGAAAUGGGAACGUUGAACGUACAAAGUAGCCGACUAUAUUGUCUUUUCUCAUUCUCUGUCGUAAAGUGCGGGAUCGACGCCACGCAAUUUGCCACCAAUCGUGUAGCGGCGUUAAGCGUAAAGAUAGACGCAAAUGCGACAAAUAUUUAUUUAAUCGUAAAAUACGAUCGAAUUUUGUAAAAAUACUAAACGUAGAAGAUGAAGAUAAAAAUGAAGAAAUAAAAAGGAAUAUCAGGAUGCAACAUUUGUGCUAUAAGCCAUCGAUGUAUCGGCAAGUCGUUCCGCGUCUCUGGAACAUCGACGAGGAAGAAGAGACGCGACUAAUUGCGCCGCGCCGGUAUUCCGGAAUUGCUUUAAAGCAUUAGCUGGAACGUCGCAGAGAGGUAUACAACCCCCCAAGAUGGCUGCUCCCGGGCGUAUCGACGUUUGGCGUUUGCAGGGUUUCCCAGAGGCGCUAACGACGCUGGAGGAAGGGAAAUAUAUGGCGUCGCGUCCGGUAAUCUCCAACGACCCAGCUCGUCGCUCCAAGUGGCCGUGGAUCUGACGGCAGCGACAUCGCGAAACGGACAUCCGGGUCGAAGAUGAGGAACCAUCGCGUCGCAUAUUUGCGAGUCUAUCUCCGGUGGCACCAGUCCUCGCUUGCCUCUCGGAUCCAGCAAGAUCCACCAGGUGAAGCCUUCCCCUCUUUACCGUAUUCUCAG
rnacentral:lncRNA from 1 species